GACGAACGCUGGCGGCGUGCUUAACACAUGCCAGUCGAACGCUGAAGCUCAGCUUUUGUUGGGUGGAUGAGUGGCGAACGGGUGAGUAACACGUGAGUAACCUGCCUCCUUCUUUGGGAUAACGCCCGGAAACGGGUGCUAAUACUGGAUAUUCACUGGUCUUCGCAUGGGGGUUGGUGGAAAGGGUUUUUCUGGUGGGGGAUGGGCUCGCGGCCUAUCAGCUUGUUGGUGGGGUGAUGGCCUACCAAGGCUUUGACGGGUAGCCGGCCUGAGAGGGUGACCGGUCACAUUGGGACUGAGAUACGGCCCAGACUCCUACGGGAGGCAGCAGUGGGGAAUAUUGCACAAUGGGCGCAAGCCUGAUGCAGCGACGCCGCGUGAGGGAUGGAGGCCUUCGGGUUGUGAACCUCUUUCGCUCAUGGUCAAGCCGCAACAAUGGUUGUGGUGAGGGUAGUGGGUAAAGAAGCGCCGGCUAACCACGUG
rnacentral:rRNA from 1 species